rnacentral:ribozyme from 1 species
UUUAUUGAUCAGGAUAGAUGCUUAUUUGCUCUUUCUCCAUAUUAUAUAAUCCUUCUUCAUAGGUCUUUUAGGGUUUCAAGUUGUUUACUUCAAUAAUGAUACAAGUCAGUUCUGAGAGUUGUGUAUCACUGAAUUUGAAUAAAUUAUCUUU